AUUCUUAAUAACCAAGUAUAUAUAAUUACACGAAAAACAUUGAGUUAACCAAAUUAGACUUGUAGGUUUUAAACUGGGUGUAGCAACAUUCAAGGCUUAAAUUUGGUUAGAAGUGAAAGGCUUAUCAAAUUGUUGGAUAUCUUGAUCUGUAUGAAAAAUAUAAAGUAUAAAGACAUAUUAAAAAUGGUUAGGUUUUUAAUUGACAUAAAUAAGGGUUAAUACAAGUGUAGUAGGUUUAACAAUUACUAUUAUCUUAAUAUAUCACUAAUUAACCGAUGUUUAUGUAGAAUAUUACAGGAUUUUAUUCACUAAUCAUAAAAUACUUAAUGAGAUUAUUAGUAUAUAACAAUUUUAUUUAAAGGAACUCGGCAAAUUUUUACUCGACUGUUUAACAAAAACAUAGCUAGGCGAUAUUAUGUUUGGUAGUUCCUGCUCCAUGAUUAUUUAAAUAGCCGCAGUACCUUGACUGUGCAAAGGUAGCAUAAUCAAUUGGCUUAUAAUUGAAGUCUGGCAUGAAUGGAUUAACGGGUAAAUACUGUCUCAAGAUAAUAAAUAGAACUUACUAAACAAGUGAAAAUUCUUGUUCUAAUAUAUUAGACGAGAAGACCCUAGAAAUUUUUUAGAGGGUAUUAUAUAAAUAUUUUGUUUUGUUGGGGCGACAGAGUAACAAAAAACUUACUUUUGGAUAUAGGAAUUAUUUAUGAUAAAUUAAAUUACUCUAGGGAUAACAGCAUAAUUCAAUAGAGUUUGUGACCUCGAUGUUGGACUAGGAAAGAUGAUGUCCAGAAGAUGUUAUUAUAAGCUCUGUUCGAGCUUUACCUCCUACAUGAUCUGAGUUCAGACCGG
rnacentral:rRNA from 1 species